GAUGUUUAAUAACUUUAAGACUAUGUGUACUUGGGAGCCGAGGCACAAUCAUGUCCUUUCGACCACAUUUGAGAGGAAGUCAUCCGCCAGACUGUCUGCUUGGCUAAAGAAAGUUCAGGAUAGUGCUGAACGUCCGGAUUGGAUGUUGCCGCAUGUUUUUGAUGAUCCGGGUCGAUAUUGGAACACAGACAAGUUUAAGGCAAUAUCAGACCAAGCCAAAAAGGCUAGAGGCAGUCUUACGGGUGGCUCGUUGCACACCAGAGGUUCAAAGUCUGUUGGAACAAUUGCAAGAGAGAUGGAAAGAGAAUUGGGACGCACUCCCAUUGCACCUGAGGUUUUCAAGAAGACUCAUGUCAGGAAGAAAGAAAAUGAGUAGGAUCUGGAUGUGUGGGUGGAGGAAAGAGCCGAACAAACUUUUAUCUGGAAAGAAAAAGUGGUGGGGGGACAUAUAAGGGUAGAGUCUAUGGUCUAGGAUCUCAAAACAAUGUAAGACGACUCCAAUCAGGCUUAGAAGGAAUUGGAUCGUCAAUUCAAGCCGAGGCACUUGACGAUGUUCAGAUUGCUGCUAUGUCCGAUCAAAUAGCUAAACUUACAGUGGCACUGGCAGAGUCGGAGCUGAGAAGAGUGCUGAACAAGAAAGCCUGAGCAAGACCGUUCAGCAAAUCCAAAAACAAGUGAUGACCAAAGAUGCGCAAAGUUUUUAGACUGUCACUAUAAUAAAUGUUUACCUAAACACUAUCAUAUCAAAUCUAUUGUUUGGGAGGUUUCUAGGAACAGAUGUCUCUUGGGUCGAUUUACGGUAGGUAACCAUUAUGACUCAGUACCAAAGUUAUUUUGAGUCUAUCCUAUCAGUCCUCGGUGAGUCUGUUGUACUUUCUUCAUGCCUUGCAUAUGUUUAUCCACAUAGAAGCAAUACGACCACUCAUCGUAAGAUUGUGGCAGAUGUAAAGUGGAUGUAUUGCUUCUAUGUGGAUGAACCAAUGCAUAGCAUGACGAAAGUACAACUGACUCACCCAUGACCAAUAGGAUAGCCUCAAAACAACUUUGGUACUCAGUCACAAGGGUUACUUGUCGUAUAUCUACCAAGAGACAUUUGUUUCUAGAUGCGACGGAUCAGUACAUUAAGAUGACAAUUGGGAUAUUCUUUGGGUGAAAUGGAUUCAUGGAGUACAUAUGAAAAAUAACUUGAAUAUAUGAGACCACACUCCUCCAUUAGAUUCAAGUUGGUAUUGGAAGAAGGUUAACUCUCUAAAAAAUGAUAUACAAGCUUGGUAUGCGCAAUAUGUUUUUUUUUUUUGAUUUGCACCGGGUGUCCGAGUCU